GAGAGGUUGGCGCGGGCAGGCGCCUCGCCAACCCGGUCAGGUCCGGAAGGAAGCAGCCGUAACGAGUCCCGCUUGGGUCGCUGUCCAGCCUCUCACC
rnacentral:SRP_RNA from 2 species